AUUGAACGCUGGCGGCAGGCUUAACACAUGCAAGUCGAGCGAGCGGCGGACGGGUGAGUAAUGUCUGGGCAACUGCCUGAUGGAGGGGUCUAACUACUGGAAACGGUAGCUACUACCGCAUACCAUCAGAUGUGCUCAGAUGGGAUUAGCUAGUCGGUGGGGUAAUGGCUCACCUAGGCGACGAUCCCUAGCUGGUCUGCGAGGAUGACCAGCCACACUGGAACUGAGACACGGUCCAGACUCCUACGGGAGGCAGCAGUGGGGAAUAUUGCACAAUGGGCGCAAGCCUGAUGCAGCCAUGCCGCGUGAGUGAAGAAGGCCUUCGGGUUGUAAAGCACUGUCAGCAAGGAGGCGUUACUCACAGAAGAAGCACCGGCUAACUCCGUGCCAGCAGCCGCGGUAAUUC
rnacentral:rRNA from 1 species